CAACCCUUAAGCUCAGCUUAGUGUUGGGAAUCUACCGUGAGCGGUGUUACCCGGUACCUACCCUAUAACGGGGCUAGGUUACCCUGUAGCCACCCUGUAGUUCCUCAAAUUGAACGGCGGAGUCAUAGUCAUCUCUGAGCGCAGUAAUUUUUAUCACGCUUUUGAAGAUGCUAUAGCUUUAGCCGCUAAACCCCCAAUUUUUUAAU
rnacentral:misc_RNA from 1 species